rnacentral:lncRNA from 1 species
UAAGGUAAUGGUCCAACUGCUUGAGGCCCAUAUGUGUGUGUUGGUGAUCCGCCCACCUAUGACAGGAAGACUGGUCAUUGUAUGCACAGUGGGGGACUCGGGCAGUGUCUGUCUGAUCAUCUUACUUGCUGUGACAUCACUGCCCACGGAUCAGAGGCCCUCAGUGCUGAUGGAUUCCAGGCUACCGGUGGCUUUUGUUUUUUUGGUUUUUUUUUUGGUUUUUCCGUAUAAGGGAACACCUGUGACAGGAUAGCUCCAGUCCUUGUGGUGGAGAUCCAGGGGGAGCCGGAUCCUUGAAGAAGUCUUUGCAUGACACCAUCUGUACUGUGUUCCCAUGUUGUGAGAGGGUGGCAGACACCAAUCAAGGAUGCCAAUCAAGUCAAGGAUCUGAACGUCUGUGAGCUGGGACCCCUGAGCCGUUCUCACAGGCUGGUCACCGACAGGUGGCUGUGGAGAGUGGCUUUUAGAUGGAUCCAUCCCCUUUGUUUGCUUGCUUUCCAUCCCUCUGCUUUGACCUCCCCUUUAGUGAGGGUUGGGGAGUAGAAGGGAGGUAGCCUGCCUCAGAGGCUGGUGUCAGGAUAGAAUGAGGUUUUCACAAAAUACCCGGGAAGACUAAGUUGAUGAUGUCAUCCUUACUGGGAAACUUGUUUCAAAAACCCCUGGAAUAUUCGUAAGAAAUUGGUUAUUCAUGCCCUAAAUGAGAAAGUGCAUUUUUGUCUCGAUUCAGUCAGUGUCGAAGAAGCUGUUACUCAGCUCCUGCAGUGCUUUCGGUCUUGACAGGAAGAAGCAUAAAACCAUCCUUUAAAUGAUCUACAAGCCUGAGAAGACUGGACUGCUGCCCAGGCUCUGAGCAGACCCCCCAGUGAGAUCAGCACAGGGAAAGCCCCCUGGGUGCUCUCCCUGGUGCUGCAAAUAGGCGGCACAGGCUCUGCUGACACAACCCAAGAGACAUCAGUUUACACCCGCUUUAGUAACCCUCCUAUUGCUGUGAUUAAACACCCAACACAAAUAACUCCAGAAGAAAUGGUUUAUUUGGGUUCAUGAUUUGAGGAUACUGUCUGUCACAACAGUGAAGGCAUGGCCAACAGGAGCGUGAGGCAGCUGGUCACAUUGUAGCAACAACCAGGAAGCAGAGAGAG